rnacentral:tRNA from 1 species
GGAGGAUUAGCUCAGUUGGGAGAGCAUCUGCCUUACAAGCAGAGGGUCGGCGGUUCAAGUCCGUCAUUCUCCACCA